rnacentral:rRNA from 1 species
UGGCGGACGGGUGAGGAAUACAUCGGAAUCUACUCUGUCGUGGGGGAUAACGUAGGGAAACUUACGCUAAUACCGCAUACGACCUACGGGUGAAAGCAGGGGACCUUCGGGCCUUGCGCGAUUGAAUGAGCCGAUGUCGGAUUAGCUAGUUGGCGGGGUAAAGGCCCACCAAGGCGACGAUCCGUAGCUGGUCUGAGAGGAUGAUCAGCCACACUGGAACUGAGACACGGUCCAGACUCCUACGGGAGGCAGCAGCU